AUAUAUUGAGUAAGUUCAGAGCGGA
rnacentral:piRNA from 1 species